UCUUCUAAUCUUCUCUCUCUCUCUCUUUUAACCAUUUCUCAUGUCAUGCGAUCAGGUGACUCACUAAAAUCUGAUUAUAAAGUAUUACAAAAUCUCUUACUUGAUGAUGUAUAUAAACUCCCUAGUGUAAGGCAGAAAUUCGGUGGUGAAGUAAAGUGCAGACCUCAUCCCAGAAUUAGCUACUACAGGCACCACCAAUUUCUUUUUGAAGACAAGAUCCUGCAGUUAGAAGAACAUGGCAAGUCUGAACUGGAGUUAUCAAGGCAACAAUGGACCCGACCAGUGGCACAAAUUAUACCCUAUUGCCAAUGGAAACCAUCAGUCCCCUAUUAACAUUAAAACCAAGGAAGUCAAAAAAGAUCCAUCUCUGGGGCAUCUCAAGAUCACCUGGAAUUUGAGCACCUCCAAAGAGAUUGUCAAUGUUGGACACUCCUUCCAUGUGAACUUUGAGGACAAGGAUAACCGAUCAGUGGUGACCGGUGGACCUCUGACUGGAAACUACAGGCUACAUCAGUUUCACUUUCACUGGGGCCAGACUGACGAUCAUGGCUCUGAGCACACUGUGGACGGAGAAAAAUAUGCCUCAGAGCUUCACCUGGUUCACUGGAAUUUAGACAAAUAUUCAAGUUUUGCUGAAGCUUCAGAUAAGCCUGAUGGUUUGUCAAUCAUUGCCGUUUUUCUGAAGGUUGGUCCCCCCAAUGAACAUGUGCAGGACAUUGUGAAGGCAGUCGGCUCGAUAAAGACUAAGGGUAAAAAAGCUCCAUUUACUAAUUUUGACCCAUCAACUUUACUUCCUGGAUCCUUGGAUUACUGGACCUAUUCUGGCUCUUUGACUCAUCCUCCCCUUUUUGAGAGCGUCACCUGGAUUAUCUAUAAGGAGCCCAUUACUAUCAGUUCAGAGCAGCUGGCCCAAUUCCGCAGCCUCACAUUGACCAAUCAUCGACUUCCCCAGCCUUUGAAGGGCAGACAAGUGAGAACCUAAUUCCAGCUCCUGAAAGAUCCUCAUCUUGCCACUUAUAACUGUGAAACCUGAUUGAAGAGGUCUGCACAGAUAUUCAUUACCCUCCUUAUCAUGGUAAAGCAUGAUGAUCCCUGUCACUACAAGAAUAUGCAUGGAGUGAUCACAAAAUCUUGUUCUAUUGAGUCAACUGAGAGGAACAAGGCAGUUCACAUCUCCCAGAGCUAUUGUCUCAAUCUGUCUACAGAGUCAAGAACACAGCACUCCAUUGGUUUACAUGUUUCCUGUUUUUAAGGUUUUCUUCACAGUCAUGAGGCCUAGAAGAAUUUUUUUAAAUGAACGCUUACAUACCAAGGCAAGGGAUCCAGAGCAGAUUAUGCGGUCAUGGAAUUGUAGAAUGCAUAGACACUUCUCUGUGCUAGGUGCUGUACAAACACAGAACAAAAGGAUGGUCUCUGCCCCCAAACAGUUUACAAUCGAAGUGUAAGGAAACAGACAACAGAUGGAUACAGACAGACAGAGAAUUACACGGAAACAGUGAGACGAUAUUGGCCAACCUGAUAGGCAGUGGUAUCAGUGCACCAGUAGCCCAACCGUUGUCAAGGUUUUUUUGUAGGGAUCAGAGCAUAGGUGAGUUUUGAGGAGCAUUUUGCAGGGGGAUAAUGACUUAGUUUCAUGGAUGUUUGUGGUGAGCUACUCCCACACGUGAGGGCAGCAUCGGAGAAAUCACAAAGGUGCUUGUUUUAAAAUUAAUAAGUAGACAACAGAGGCUGGCAUUGAGCCAAUUGGAGCAAAUGAGAGAUGAUAGGCAGAGUGGGAGUCGGGGCCAUGAAACAGUAGUUUGUUUGAUGAGCUGGAGAAGGGGAAGACAAUGGAAGCAUACAAAGGCAGAGGCGACAUGGCCAAAGUGAUGGCUAAGAACAUGAUCUUUGCAGCAGCAUUGUGAAUGGAUAUGAAUGGGACAAGACUGCAUUUGUCAAGGCCAGAGAGAAGGAUUUUACCACAAUAGAGACACAAGAUGAUCAGAGCUUGGACAAGUGUUUUAGCUGAGUGGAUGGAUAGGGAAGGCUGUAUCUUGGAGACGUUAUGCAGAAAAAAUAGACAAGAUUUAGAUCUAGUCUGGAGAUGAGGAUCUAGAGAGACGUCCAAGUUGAAGAUGAUGCUCAGGGUAUAGGCCUGAUUUACAGACAGGAUGGUGGUGUUGUCUACAGUGAUAAAGGAGAUGUGGAGGAGGAGCUUGGGGAAUGGACUGGGGCUGCAGAGGUUUUUGGGUGACAGACCCCAUGGUAUAGGAACAGUCCAACACCCACACCCUAGUGGGGACAGCUCCCAGCGUGUGGGGCCCCAGUUAAUGGAAAGCACAGAACCUCUGCCCUGCAUGAAGCCACCUGGGUUGGGACCACUGAUCCCCCUCACACAGGGGGCAGUGGUUUCCUUUCCACCGGACAGAAUGGGAGUCUCCUCACCUUGGCCCCUGAACCCCCAGCCUGGCUCUGCCUCACACCUUGCCCACCCGCCACUGCCAGCUCCCAGCAUGGCUUCCUGUAUUCCACAUCCCCAGUCCAUCCCAGACUGCACACUCUGCCCAGCCACUUGCACCCCAAUCCCUCCCAGCCUGUACCACUUGCCCAGCCACCCACAGUCCACACCCCCAGCUCCUCCUGUAUCCUCCCACCACCCCCACACACACUCUGCACCCCCAGCGUGCAUCCCUCACCCGCUGCCCAGCCCACAUCCCCGCAUUCCACAUCUCUAGUCUGCACCCCCCAACUGGCCCUCUGUAACCCCUGCACCUUUCUGGAUGCAUUCUUCACUGUCGGACUUGCAGCAUUUGCAGUGGUAGCACCUUCAGAUCCUGGACACAGUGGAGUUGAAGUGGGAGCCAGGGCUGACAUGGAGCUGGAUGGGUUGCUGCAGGGGCCAAAGCCCCUGCAGCAGUUGCAGUGCCAGUAGGAGUAGCUCUGAGUUGCUCAGCGAUGAGUCAUGGCCAUGGCGGUGAACUUACUUGUGCUGGGGUUGGGGAGUAGUAGCGUUUCCCCAGCAGCCCAAGUGAGGGUUGCUUCUUGCUCCUUGGAGCCCUGGCUGGUGGCUGAUCUCUCCCAAAGGCAGUACUGCCAGCAUCAUCCCUUGCCACUGCAGGCAACUGCCUAGUCUGCCUAUAGCUAGAGCAGCCUAUGCUCAUCCCUCUGCCCCUUUACCAAAGUAUGGUUCUAUUUUAGAACUUCAUCCUGCACUUUUCGUAGAUUCAUAGUUUCCAAGGCCAGAAGGAACCAUUUUGAUCAUCUAGCCUGUCCUCCUCUACAGCACAGGCCACAGAACUUCUCCAAAAUAAUUCACAGAGCAGAACUAUUAGAAAAACAUCUACUCUUUCAUACAUUGUUCCAUUGGUUAAUGCCUGCUUUCUCUGUCGGUAAAAGCUGCAGGACCUGAUCCAGAGAAAGUGAUCUGCUUGAUGGGGUCAUUUAGGCAGAGCCUUUUAAAGGGUUGUGAGAAGAUGCAUUACCCCUGGAGGAGCACCGAGAAACAUUCUGCUGGAGUGAGCAUGCUCCUGGACUGCCAUCUAAUAGGGUGCAGCUUUCUUUCCCCCCCCGUUCCUGCACAGCUGGGCAGCUCUACUGGCAGCUGUACUGGGAGUGGAACCAUGGCCAUGCCUCCUUCCCACCCUCAGUGGGGCAUCAUGCACCCACGAGAAGAGAAGGAAGCAGAACCUGCAUUGCCAUGAGCUCAGGGACUUGAAUUCUGCAUGGUCCAUACAAAGGGAGAGAGACAUUGUGACUCUACCCUCUCCCUCCCCUCCACACAUCCACAGAAAAGCAACGGUCCUACAAAAAUAUGAGCUGUAAAGGCCAGGUUCUGCCUGGCAUUGUUGCAGCUGCAGAGCCUGAGGAAGGGAAGGUUCUAGGGGUCUUCACUACUUUGUGUAGCCCACAAAGGUACCAAACCAAACUGCAGACCCUACACUCCGCAAAGGAACUGCUCCCCCACCUUCCUCCCCUGCAGGAGCACAGUACCUCAAAGGGGCUGGGAGGCAGUGGAACUCCCCUGCCCCCACAUCAGCAGGCAGCAGAGAUGACUGGAUGCAAGACAGGUAACAGGACACAACCUACAAAAGGGUGCAGUAGUGGCACAGUUGAGCUCCAAGUGCUAUUUUACCAUUCUGUUAAAUAAAAAUAGUGGGCUAGAUUCUGGCCAUGACUAUGCACCACCAGUGUGGUAAAGAAAGGUUAAAGGGGCUUUAAAGCCCAUUUAAUCAGCUUCUGGGGAUUCCCUCAGUGUAAUGAAAUUCCCAACUGCUGAAGCAUUGGCACAGCUAACUCCACACCAACACUCUCACAGGCCUCAACAUGGAGGCAUGUUAGGGGAAGGACUAGUGGAAAAGGAAGGUGGCUGGACUGCACUCUUGAUCCAGCAUCUCCAGCUGCUGAAAAAGCUCCUUGGAGGUUGGGGCUACCAGGCCCAAGUAACAACAGUCUUGAGGCUGCUCUAAAUUGUGUUGGCAUUGGAAAUGACCUUUGACAGCCCUGAGAAUCAUAAAGCUCCCCUGCCUCACUCAGGUCCUGGAGCCAAGGGUCUGUUUAAUUCUGAAAAUAAAAGUCUUGUGGCAACCAGCCACCCAGCUACAUGUUGUUCCUAACAGCUCCAGUUCUCAGCAAAUGCUCUUCAUCUUUUGGGUGGCUGCACAUUUUAUACUUCUCGGUAUCAAGUACCAAACACAGAAGGAGGCCAACACAAUCACUAUAGCUAACAAAGCCACUGCUAAGAGGCAGAGGAGGUCCAUGUUUUAGAAUUGCCUGCUCAGUUGCAGUAUGUCUCAGCAACUAAAAGGGCACCACAAUAUUUUAGACGCAUUGUACUAAAAUAAAGAGUGCCAACUAUUGGAUGACUUAAUACUGCCCAAGACACUUCACUUAGAUCCAGUUGACAAUAUCUACUCUAGACUUAUUUUCAACUACUUUGUCUUCAGAUUGAUCACAAACUAGAGUUGAGAAGCAAAUGCUGAAACUGAACCACAAGCUUGGCUGUAGGCAUCUAGGCAAAUCUGUAGGCUGUCAACAAACUCGUUUAUUCAGUGGGAAGUACAAGACACAUUGACAAUAUCUGUUUUUAUUUGAUAAAAUCCUUACAAAUAUCAAACCACUGUAUCCGCUCCACUAUUUAUUUUCAAUGCAGGAAAAACAGCUAAAACUUAUUUUAUUUCUAAUAUGAACACACACAGUAGUAGCCUCAUUAUUCCUGUCCUCAGGCAAAUCAGUUCUUUAUCGCCCUUUACAUAAUGUGUAAACUUCAUUCAUCAUGUUCUGCAGCUACUCACACGACAGGGAAACAUACCAGAUGCAACAUCAGAUCAAAAAAGAAAGUGAAAAAAACACACAUAUGCCAGCAAUUAUACUCUACACAUAUUCUUGUCAUUUGAAUGAGACCAUACUCAAGACUUUUUAUAUCUACCUGGGUCCUCCUGCCUAUCCCGGUUAGUGGGGACUGAAAAAAAAAGUGCCUGCAGGUUUUACAUUUGGCCAUUCUUGUCCACAGGUCCUCCUGCUGCAUUGGCUCUACUGCUUCUCCCAUAGCCAGUUUUCUUUUUCUCACUGCUCAAAAUACUAUAUUGCAGUGAGAGGACCUGCAGUAACAGAAGCAACUUAAGCUCCCCUUUAGAGGAGGCACUCUACUGGAGUGGAGGAGAGAACAAUAAGACUUACUUAUCUAUCUAUCUGUCUAAACAACCUAUUUAUUUAUAGAGGAAUACAAGGGACAUGGGAAUCUCUGCAAGGUUGGCCUUGCUUGUAUGGUAUCCUCUCAAUUUUCCGCUCCUGGAGGAUGGGUGACAAUACUAAUGGAGGAGGCAAGAGGGGUAGCCUACAAAACCUACAGUCCUAGGCAUCUUGGAGAAAGAAAUAGUCGCGUGGAAGGGUGGCUUUUCCCUCCAUGUGGCUGCUCUGACACUUCCUCCCAAUCCUGCAGGAGUUGUGUGGCCACUGCCUGAUUCUCCCUUGGCUUCACAGUUACAGCCCUGAAGAGAGUCAGGGGGAGUUACCACCACUUCACACGGCAUUAAAUCCUGAUUGGAUUUUUGAGCAGAAAUCCACAGGCUCAACAGGGAAGGUGCUGUAGAGAGUGGCUGGUCCUUUGCUCCACUCCCAUCAA